rnacentral:snRNA from 1 species
AGCUUUGCGCAGUGGCAGUAUCGUAGCCAAUGAGGUUUAUCCAAGGUGCGAUUAUUGCUAAUUGAAAAG